UUCUCCUCCUCCUCCUUCUUCUUCUUCUUCUUCUCCUUCUUCUCCUUCUUCUUCUUCUUCUUCUUCUCCUCCUCCUCUUCUUUCUUCUCCUCUUUCUUCUUCUUCUUAGCUUAUUUUCCCCAAGAAAGACAUACUUAUCUAAUUAUCCUCCAAAAUGACAUAAUUAUCUAAUUUAGUUCAUUUAUGACAUAAUUAGCUUAGUUAGGUAAAAAAGCAUCACGGGAACCUUGGUUAUCUCAUAACUUAGCGUAUCUUCUUCCUAAAUGACAUAAUAAGUUCAAAAUAAGAAAAGUAUUGUAAUCAUCCUCUUCCUAUCCUUCUCCUUAUCCUUCUCCUUCUUCUUCUUCUUCUUCUCCUCCUCCUCCUUCUUCUCCUCCUCCUCCUCCUCCUUCUUCUUCUUCUUCUCCUCCUUUUUCUUCUUCUCCUUAGCUUAUUUUCCCC
rnacentral:lncRNA from 1 species